UACGAAGGGGACUAGCGUUGUUCGGAUUUACUGGGCGUAAAGCGCGACGUAGGCGGAUCGCUAAGUCAGGGGUGAAAUCCCAGGGCUCAACCCUGGAACUGCCUUUGAUACUGACGAUCUGGAGAUCGGGAGAGGUGAGUGGAACUGCGAGUGUAGAGGUGAAAUUCGUAGAUAUUCGCAAGAACACCAGUGGCGAAGGCGGACUC
rnacentral:rRNA from 1 species